AGUGCUUCUCGGCCUUUUGGCUAAGAUCAAGUGUAGUAUCUUUGUGUAUUACGCUUGGAUCAGGUCCAGGAAAGAUCCAAAUUAUUUUUUAUUUAAAAAAUAAUUUUGAUCCAGUACAGGACGGGAAACUCAGCGAUCCCUCCUAGGCUUGCUGGGUAAUUUAUGGUCGGCACUGCGCCGCCCUCCAAGUUACUCAGU
rnacentral:snRNA from 1 species